rnacentral:misc_RNA from 1 species
UUUCCGUAGGUGAACCUGCGGAAGGAUCAUUAUUGUAUAACCGAGGUGCGAGGGCUGUCGCUGACCCGAAAGGUCGUGCACGCCCCAGUGCCCUCACACACAUCCAUCUCACCCCUAUGUGCACCACCGCGUGGGUCCCCCUUUGGCUUGUUCGGAGGUGGGCUUACGUUUUCACACAAACUUUGUAUGCAGUGUAGAAUGUAUUUUUUGUUUUUGCGAUCACGCAAUCAAUACAACUUUCAACAACGGAUCUCUUGGCUCUC